CUCUACGGCCAUACCACCCUGAAUGCACCCCAUCUCAUCUGAUCUCAAAAACUAAGCAGAGUUGGGCCUGGUUACUACUUGGAUAGGAGACCACCUGGGAAUACCAGGUUCUGUAGAGG
ensembl:rRNA 5S_rRNA 5S ribosomal RNA